AGUGAACGCUGGCGGUAGGCCUAACACAUGCAAGUCGAACGGCAGCACAGUAAGAGCUUGCUCUUACGGGUGGCGAGUGGCGGACGGGUGAUGAAUACAUCGGAAUCUACUUUUUCGUGGGGGAUAACGUAGGGAAACUUACGCUAAUACCGCAUACGACCUACGGGUGAAAGCAGGGGAUCUUCGGACCUUGCGCGAUUGUAUGAGCCGAUGUCGGAUUAGCUAGUUGGCGGGGUAAAGGCCCACCAAGGCGACGAUCCGUAGCUGGUCUGAGAGGAUGAUCAGCCACACUGGAACUGAGACACGGUCCAGACUCCUACGGGAGGCAGCAGUGGGGAAUAUUGGACAAUGGGCGCAAGCCUGAUCCAGCCAUACCGCGUGGGUGAAGAAGGCCUUCGGGUUGUAAAGCCCUUUUGUUGGGAAAGAAAAGCAGCAGGUUAAUACCCCGCUGUUCUGACGGUACCAAAAGAAUAAGCACCGGCUAACUUCGUG
rnacentral:rRNA from 1 species